AUGCAGUAUGCUUCCUGUGAGUUUGCUGAAUGUGACGCAGUGCAGCCAGUUGAGAAAAACAGUGCGUGGCUUUUAGCUGGGUUAGUGCCUGCUACACUCGUCUCCACAACUGAAAAAAACAACUUUUCCAACUUAUCGGACUGGGUCAACAUUACCACUUCAGCGCAGAACUCCAGUCAGCCAGCAGAGGGCAGCAAUGGAGAGUGUUCAGCUGUUCCCACCCACCUCCACAUCCACGUUUGGCGGGGCAUCAUGGGAAGUGUGCAGGGUGUGCCUCAGAUGGUUAUCCAGGCAGUGGAGAUUAGGCACCGGACCGCUUUAUUCAGCAUUGUAUUGUUCUUAUCGUCUCACUUUCCUGAUAGCAAACAUGAUAGCUUUUCAUUAAUGACUGAGCUUGAUAUGUCUAGAUUGCAUAUACAGUUUUGAUACUCUGAGGACAUUUUGUUUUGCAUUCAUUCUUUUUCCAAUUUUCAGUUUCAUAGUAACAACAUGGAGGGUAGAGUGUGGUAUGGGCAGGGUGAAUCCAUGUUUAAACCCAGAGCUAAUGCAAAAUUUCCCUGUGAGCUCGUCUGUGACCUUUACUGACAAUCCUAUUAUAACACAACCCCCUAGAUCCAGGUGGGUCCUAAACACACACAUAUAACUGAGAUUACUGUAUAGAUGCAGUUGCAUUUAAUUUCGAAAGUUAUUUAUUUUUACGAUUGAAUUUUUUUUCCCCUGAUAAAAAUACAAUAAAAACAUUUAAAAUUUAUUUUAAAAAUAUUACAUUGCAAAUAUUUUCAAUAUCGUCAUACACAUUUCAGAAAUAGUUAUUUGUAUUAGUUUCAAUCUGUGGCUUGCAAAUAUGGCAUUAUUUCACAAAUCCACCUCCAGUCUCCUGCAGUGUGACAUGCUAGACCGCAUCUAAAACUAUUGUAAACAACAUUUUUGUAAUUCUUAUGUGUGCAAUUGUUAUGACUUCAUAUUUGGGGACAACAUAAAAUAUUAGUGUUUUUAAAAUGUAAUUAUCCACACUGCAGAACUCUUUAGGUGAGCUGCAGGUAGGUGGUUUAAAAUGGGGAAUGUCACACCACCUAAACAUACAGUUUCCCUUUUACAAAAAUGUAUACAUGUUGAUUUAGUCUUAAAGUACGAAUUAUGAGCUGUAUUCCCAGGCGCUGGCUAAAGGUCUCAUUCUAGUGUUCUUCUUCAUUGCUGCGUCUGUUUCAGGAACACCAUGGAAACAAAUCAGACAGGCAUGGAGUAGUGCUUCACUAUGAAAGAAAGCAAGAGAUAGAAAAAGAAAAUGAUCUAUCAAAUAGAAUUUGAUAUUCAAGUGUAAAUAGAUGUUAUUUAUUUUCCUUUUAUGUUUUGUAAAAAAAAUUUAUGAAUCAUUAUGUUUUGAGAAAUUUGUUGGUCACAUUUAUUUAUACACAUUUAUACACAUA
rnacentral:lncRNA from 12 species